UGCCAGUUCGAAUGGCAAUCAUUAAAAAAUCUGGAGACAACAGAUGCUGGAGAGGAUGUGGAGGAAAGGAACACUUUUACCCUGUUGGUGAGAGUGUAAAUUAGUUCAUCCAUUGUGGAAGAUAGUGUGGAGAUUCUUCAAGGACCUAGAAAUAGAAAUACCAUCUGACCCAGCAAUCCCACUUGUGGGUAUAUACCCAAAGGAUUAUAAAUCAUUCUAUUAUAAAAACACAUGCACACAUAUGUUUAUUGUGGCACUGCUCACAAUAGCAAAGACUUGGAACCAACCCAAACGCCCAUCAAUGAUAAACUGGAUAAAGAAAAUGUGGCACAUAUACACCAUGGAAUACUAUGCAGCCAUAAAAAAGGAUGAGUUCAUGUCCUUUGCAGGGACAUUGAUGAAGCUGGAAACCAUCAUUCUCAGCAAACUGACACAGGAAUAGACUGUUGUGCAAUGAGAACACAUGGACACCAGGAGGGGAACAUCAUACACUGGGGUUUGUCGGGGGCUAGGGGGCUAGGGGAGGGAUGGCAGAGAGGUGGAGGCUAGGGGAGGGAUAGCAGAGGGGUUAGAGGCUAGGGGAGGGAGAGCAUUAGAAGAAAUACCUAAUGUAGAUAACAGGGUGAUGGAUGCAGCAAACCGCCACCAUGGCACAUAUAUACAUUUGUAACAAACCUGCACAUUCUGCACGUGUACCCAAGAACUUAAGGUACAAUUUAAAAAAAUCAUGCUUGUGACUAGAUAAUUUCUUUUUCCAGUUUCCUGUCCCUAUUCUCAACUUCAGUGCAUGGCUCCAACUUUCUUUAAAAUAGGACUCAAAGCUCACCUUGCUCAGGAGCCAUUUCAGGACCGAUUGCGGGUGAGUCCAGUCACUGCACCACAGAGGCCUGGAGCCCAGCUGUUCCCUGGACUGUGUUACUGCAGUCUUGGUGGUCAAAUGGAGCAGCUGCUAUAUGGAGCUAAGGAAAUCCCAGCAGCUUCUGUGAUGUGAAGUGCUGAAUUGGGAAGGACGUGUGAGGUCACUGAGCCCAGCUAGCCCUUUCAUCCUGAGUCUUCCUGCUUCAGGUCUCAUCACAGAUCUGGAAUUUUAAUCAAGUGUUCACUUCUCUUUCUAGUUUUUGGAAGUAGAUUUUUAACCUCUUCCAGGAUUUAGUCUUUCCUGGGUGUUCGUGAUAACUUUGUUCUCUGAUGUCAGGAUAUCCAUUAUUACCUAUUUCCCCUGAUUCCUACUUUUCCUGUACUUUUUCAAAGUCAGCUCCCCAAAUUGUCACCCUCUUCCUUAAGGUGCUUGCUCUGAGCCCAGCCUCUCCAUUUUCUGGCAUCCUGGAAAGCACGGUAGUUCCUCUUCUAAUCAUGGCAAUGACUUAGUAAAGGUGAGCACCCUGGUACUCACCCUGUGUCCGGAAGACAGUGCCGAGGUGAAUCAUUCUAAGCCAUCACUAGAAUUCGCAGGGAUUGCCCCAACCACCCACGAUGCUGGAGAAAUGCCCGGAAGGCUUACCUCAAUUCACCCGGCUAAAGAAUCAACUCGCUCCUCCUCCUCUCCUCCCAGAUUCCACCGAAAGCCAAGAUUUUUCUUGGCUGGCAUCUCCAAGAGAUUAGUCAGUGUCAUUUAAUCUUAAGGAGAAUGUCCAGGGCACCUCAAUGAUUGUGAGGAAAUCAGGAGCAGAAGUGGAUCUGCUGGCCCUUCUGUGUCUAGUCGGGCUGCAAGAGCAGUCUCCCCGGAGACCAAGAGGUCAGUCAGGCUCUGGGCUCAGACCGCUUGGGUUCGAAUCCAAGUGCUGCCACUGCCUAGCCAGGUGACCCGGCAAGCUACUCAAACACCCUGGGCUUUCGUUACUCCAUGUGUACAGUGUUUGAAAGAGUGUCUGACAGGCACAUGGCAGGUGAUUAAUAAAUGCUGGCUGUUUUUAUCAUUACUACCCUCAUCAUCUGUGAGUCACCUUAUGACCUGAGUUAAAAGAAUAAAUAAUUAAGCCAUGCAUUUAGUUCUGCCAAAUAUUAAUUAUUAAAAUAAACUCACACUUUGGAGCAUGCCUGUGUGGCUAUGUGCCCAGCACUGUGAUAAGAACACAGCAGUCAUUUAAUGUUUUCAGCAAUGGGUGAGGUGGGACCACAUUGUGGAAAUGGAGACUGAGAGAAUCAUGAACUACUCAAGGGCACGCAGCUCAUAAGGAGAAAGGCCAUGGAUUCAUGCCAGUUCUUGGACCCCACACCCAUAUCCAAGCCACGGUCAGAUACUGCGUUCCUGUGCAACGGCUUGUUUAAAAAGCCAAGCUCAGCGCUUCAGGUGUGAAGUGAAAUCAGCAAGGAUGAAAUUGCAUGUGGGGUUUCUGUAUGCCUGUACUUGUGCAUGCUUAUUUGCUUCCUUAAAUUAGAUUCAUCAGCUAGAAAAAAAAAAAAACCUUAGUCAUUUCUCUCUCAGACACUGGUCCAGACCGAGAAGGCAGAGAUGCCCAGAGGCCCUAUUCAAAGCAGCCCUGUGCCAGAGAAACUACCCCCGAAGUGAAAUUAGACGGCCCACUUUGAGUCUCUGCCCCCUCGUCCCUCCUCGCUGGCUCCUAACUUGGCUCUCUUAUUCAAGACCUAUUUGUUCCAGCUGUUAGAUCUAUUCUCAAACAACAAAUUGCACCGCAACCCUUCACUUUUCACCUGAGCCAUUCAGAACAUCGUCAGCAAUGUUCCGUCUCAGGGAGACUGAGCGUUUGUAUGAGGGAAAACAUGUUUUGUAAAAAAGUGAAUUUAACACAGGGAAAAGCCAUUUCACGAAGAUGAGUGUACAGUUGUCCCUCGGAAUCUGUGGGGGAUCAGUGCCAGGACCUCCAAGGAUGUGCAGGUUGCUGAUGUAAACUGGGGUCGUGUUUGCCUAUAACCCACACGCAUCCUCCCAAUGCUUUAAAUCAUCCCCAGAUGACUUACAAUACCAAAAACAAUGUAAAUGCUAUGUAAAUAGUUGCUAUACUGUAUUCUUUUUAAUCUCUCUUAUUUUUAUUGUUGUAUUGUGAUUUUUUUAUUGUUUUCAAUAUUUCCUAGCCCUGGUUGGUUGAAUGGGUGGAGGCAGAGCUCACAGAUACAGAGGCUGACUGGUGUAACAGGUACCAAAAACUUAGAGGCUUAAAGCAACACAAAUUUACUUCUUAUAGUU
ensembl:lncRNA